UACAGAGGGCCCGAGCGUUGUUCGGAUUCACUGGGCGUAAAGGGCGCGUAGGUGGCAAGGUAAGUUUGAUGUGAAAGCUCAGGGCUUAACCCUGAAAUGGCAUUGAAUACUACUGUGCUGGAGGUUUGGAGGGGGGACUGGAAUUCUUGGUGUAGCAGUGAAAUGCGUAGAUAUCAAGAGGAACACCAGUGGCGAAGGCGAGUCCCUGGACAACACCUGACACUGAGGCACGAAAGCUAGGGGAGCAAACAGG
rnacentral:rRNA from 1 species